UACGUAGGGUGCGAGCGUUGUCCGGAAUUAUUGGGCGUAAAGAGCUCGUAGGCGGUGUGUCACGUCGGCCGUGAAAACCUGCAGCUUAACUGUGGGCGUGCGGUCGAUACGGGCAUCACUGGAGUUCGGCAGGGGAGACUGGAAUUCCUGGUGUAGCGGUGAAAUGCGCAGAUAUCAGGAGGAACACCGGUGGCGAAGGCAGUUCUCUGGGCCGUAACUGACGCUGAGGAGCGAAAGCGUGGGUAGCAAACAGG
rnacentral:rRNA from 1 species